GGAUGUGAGGGUGAUCUGGCUGUGACACCUGUCACCCCAUUGAUUGCCAGGGUUGAUUCGGCUCAUCUGGCUGGCUAGGUGGGUGUCCCCUUCCUCCCUCAGCACUUCACGUGUGUACCUCCUGAAGCUGUGCUCCAACCAAGAGGAGGACCACCCCCACAGAGGAGCACCGUUCCUCAUCAAGGGUAUGUGAGUAGCUGCGCUCCCUUGCUAGAGCCUCCGAACAAACUCUACUCCUGAGCUAAGUCCCAACCGCUUAACUUUUUUUUUUUUUUUAAAUAUAUUU
rnacentral:sRNA from 1 species